rfam:Salmo salar isolate Sally breed double haploid chromosome ssa11, whole genome shotgun sequence.
UGCAUUUACUACUGUAAGUCGCUCUGGAUAAGAGCGUCUGCUAAAUGAUGUAAA